UACGAAGGGGGCUAGCGUUGCUCGGAAUUAUUGGGCGUAAAGGGCGCGUAGGCGGCUAGUUUAGUCAGAGGUGAAAGCCCAGGGCUCAACCUUGGAAUUGCCUUUGAUACUGGCUAUCUUGAGUACGGAAGAGGUAUGUGGAACUCCGAGUGUAGAGGUGAAAUUCGUAGAUAUUCGGAAGAACACCAGUGGCGAAGGCGACAUACUGGUCCGUUACUGACGCUGAGGCGCGAAAGCGUGGGGAGCAAACAGG
rnacentral:rRNA from 1 species